rnacentral:rRNA from 1 species
UACGUUGGGUGCGAGCGUUGUCCGGAAUUAUUGGGCGUAAAGAGCGUGUAGGCGGCCAGGUAGGUCUGCUGUGAAAACUCGAGGCUUAACCUCGAGCUGUCGGCGGAAACCAUCUGGCUAGAGUCCGGAAGAGGAGAAUGGAAUUCCCGGUGUAGCGGUGAAAUGCGCAGAUAUCGGGAAGAACACCCGUGGCGAAGGCGGUUCUCUGGGACGGUACUGACGCUGAGACGCGAAAGCGUGGGGAGCGAACAGG